UCAGCCCACUGAGGAAUAGAUAUCAAUUGCAAUUCUACGUCCUCCUCCUUAUGUGAUAGAGCAUCCGCCACCUAAUUGCUAGAGCCAGACUUAUAUUCUACCAAGAAGCGAUAACCCAUCAACUUAGAAAUCCAAUAUUGUUGUGUAGGAGUACUGACCUGUUGGAACAAUAGAUACUUGAGACUUCUAUGAUCUGUUCUCACAAUGAAUUUCUGGCCUAUUAAAUAAGGCCGCCAAUGUUGAAUUGCUAGCACCAAGGCCAUUAAUUCCCUUUCGUAUGCUGAACGGGUAAUAGACUUAUCAGAAAUGGCUUUGCUGAAGAAAGCAAUAGGCCGAUUCUGUUGCAUGAGAACUGCUCCCACUCCACUACCUGAGGCAUCGCAUUCAAUAAUGAAAGGUAGCGAAAAAUUUGGCAUGAUGAGAACUGGAGAAGAAACCACAGCCCUCUUUAAUGCAUCAAAAGACUUCUGAGCAUCAGAAUUCCACUGGAAUUGACCUUGGUUCUCCUUUUUGAGUAAUGUCGUUAAAGGUUGAGCCAGUUGACCAUAGUUCAAAAUGAACCUUCUGUAAUAUCCUGUCAAACCCAAGAAUCCUCUCACUGCCUUAACUGUCUUUGGUGCUGGCCAUCUCAGUAUACUGGAUACCUUAGCAGGAUCCAUCGCCACUCCUUUAACUGAAAUUAUGUGACCAAGAUACUCAACAGAAAUCUGCCCCAAGGAACAUUUUUUCCGAUUUACAUGUUCUGACGAAGCAACCUAAGGACUAAUCUCAAAUGCUCCAAAUGUGAAUUCCAUUCCCGGCUAUAAAUAAGAAUGUCAUCGAAGAAUACUAGGAUGAUUUUCGUAGAUAAACACGAAAUAUGUCAUUCAUCACUGCUUGAAAAGUAGCCGGUGCAUUCAUUAGACCGAAUGGCAUUACUACAAAUUCAUAGUGGCCAGAGUGUGUCCGAAAGGCAGUUUUAUGGAUGUCUGGGGAAGCAACUCUUAUCUGGUGAUAUCCGGAUUUCAAAUCGAGCUUAGAAAAAUAGCAAGCUCCAUGUAGUUCAUCUAACAGUUCUUGUAUCACCGGAAUUGGAUACUUGUUAGGAAUUGUAGAUUUAUUUAGUUGCCUAUAAUCCACGCAAAAUCGCCAGCUUCCAUCUUUUUUCUUUACUAACAACACCGGACUUGAAAAAGGACUACUGCUAGGACGGAUCACACCAGCGGAAAGCAUUUCUGAUACAAGCUUCUCUAUUUCAUCUUUUUGCGUAUGACCAUAUCUAUAAGGCCGCACCGAAAUUGGUCCCACUCCAGGUUGUAGUGGAAUUUGAUGGUCAGCUUGUCGUACUGGUGGCAAGGCUUGUAUCUCAGUAAAAACAUCAUUAAAUUCUUGUAAAAUAUUCUGUAAAGCAACCUUCUGUUCACCAUCUAAUUCAUUCCCAGCUUCUGUAAUUUUUGAAUUUGAUUCCAUGGGCCACAACAUAGCUGAAAACACAACAUCAUCAGUUUUAUGUAAAGAACGCAUAGAGACUUGUAACCUGUGCAAAGAAGGAUCUCCCUGCAGCAAAAUAGUCUGACUGUUGGAUUGGAAUUGCAAAGUCAUUUUUCUCCAAUUGGCCUGUACAUCUCCAAGGGUUUAUAACCAAUCUAUUCCCAAGAUCAAGUUAACCCCACCCAAAGGAAAUACAUAACAAUUGGCAUAUAUCUUGAGAUUAAUCAAAUUUAAUUCAACUUGCUUGCACAGACCUGUUGAAGAGAUUUUACAACCAUCGCCCAAUUUAACAUUAAAAGUAGGUGUUGCAGAGAUAGAUAAAUUAAGCAGUUGUAACUGGGUAGAUAUAAAAUUGUGGCCAGCACUGCUGUCCACCAUGACCACUAUCAAAUGCCCAGCAAUACUCCCUUGAAAUUUCAUGGUUCUCGGUUGUUGUAUGCCUCCAAUUGAAUAUAAAGGCAACUCUAGGCAAGAAAAGUGGGCUUCAUCUAGCUCCGUUGUAGUACCCAUUCCACUAACGUCCUCUAUCUCGGCAAAUUCCCCUUAUUCCAUUACAAAUUCAUCUUCUGCACCAAUUAGAGCCCUUAACGACUUGUUGGGACAUUCAUGGAGAGGCGAAUAUGGCAGCUUGCAUCUAAAACAGAGCCCUUUUGCUCUAAGCUCUUGGUACUCUUGAUGUGAGUACUGUCGAGUGCUUCUGGAUUUAGCUUGCGGCGUCAUAGAUUUUGAAGGAGGCGUUGGUAAGGCUAAGGGUUUGUUUGAGAGAGUAAUAGACUUGUCAGGUGGUUUAUUUGAAACACCAUCUUUUCUUGGGUAAAAAGAAGGCCCAGAGAAAUUUCUUUGAGCAAUUGGGCUUGAAUACUUUGGUUCAGAUCCAUGAGAAGGAGUUGUCAUCCCUGUCCCUUCUCCUUACAUGUUUUUUGCCCUACCUUUGGAAAAAUGCUAGUGUUCCCGUUCCACUUCUCUAGCUAAUUUUAUUGUGCGGUAUAAAUCAACUGUAUCAUAGGACCAUAGCCUCACACUAAUAUCCUCUUUUAGUCCACUUAAGAAAUAUCCCAAACAUUGCUUAUCUGACAUUUCUGGAACUUGAGAAGCUCUAGCUACAAACUCAUCUACAUAUUCAGCAACAGUCCUUGUUUGCUUUACAGUAGCUAUAUGCUCGUAUGGGUUUUCAGCAAGAUCGUCCCCAUAGCGUUGCACUAGUUCUCUUCGUAAUUGCUCCCAAGUCAACUGUGGAUUGCGUUGUCUCAACCAUCUGAGCCAAUGUAGCGGUGCGCCUUCCAUGCUAACAAGGGCUAACGGUACUUUUAAUUCGUUUUGAACACCAUGAAUCUCGAAAUACUGUUCGGUCCUCGCAAGCCAUCCUACUGGGUCACUCCCAUCAAAAGAUGGCAUAUCCACCUUCUUUGCAAUAGUACCAGCAUCUUCAAGCAACAAAGUUCUAGCAGUGGGUUUAACAGUAGAAGCGUCUCCUUGUAAUGUUGUUUGAGUUGAUGGAUCUGUUGUUUCUCCCACCACAAUAGUCGUUUUGUCCUUAGCCAUUGC
rnacentral:misc_RNA from 1 species